GCUCAGGACGAACGCUGGCGGCGUGCCUAAUACAUGCAAGUCGAGCGGACAGAUGGGAGCUUGCUCCCUGAUGUUAGCGGCGGACGGGUGAGUAACACGUGGGUAACCUGCCUGUAAGACUGGGAUAACUCCGGGAAACCGGGGCUAAUACCGGAUGGUUGUUUGAACCGCAUGGUUCAGACAUAAAAGGUGGCUUCGGCUACCACUUACAGAUGGACCCGCGGCGCAUUAGCUAGUUGGUGAGGUAACGGCUCACCAAGGCAACGAUGCGUAGCCGACCUGAGAGGGUGAUCGGCCACACUGGGACUGAGACACGGCCCAGACUCCUACGGGAGGCAGCAGUAGGGAAUCUUCCGCAAUGGACGAAAGUCUGACGGAGCAACGCCGCGUGAGUGAUGAAGGUUUUCGGAUCGUAAAGCUCUGUUGUUAGGGAAGAACAAGUGCCGUUCAAAUAGGGCGGCACCUUGACGGUACCUAACCAGAAAGCCACGGCUAACUACGUGCCAGCAGCCGCGGUAAUACGUAGGUGGCAAGCGUUGUCCGGAAUUAUUGGGCGUAAAGGGCUCGCAGGCGGUUUCUUAAGUCUGAUGUGAAAGCCCCCGGCUCAACCGGGGAGGGUCAUUGGAAACUGGGGAACUUGAGUGCAGAAGAGGAGAGUGGAAUUCCACGUGUAGCGGUGAAAUGCGUAGAGAUGUGGAGGAACACCAGUGGCGAAGGCGACUCUCUGGUCUGUAACUGACGCUGAGGAGCGAAAGCGUGGGGAGCGAACAGGAUUAGAUACCCUGGUAGUCCACGCCGU
rnacentral:rRNA from 1 species